rnacentral:misc_RNA from 1 species
GAUGAAGAACGUAGCGAAAUGCGAUACGUAAUGUGAAUUGCAGAAUUCAGUGAAUCAUCGAAUCUUUGAACGCAUAUUGCGCUCUCUGGUAUUCCGGAGAGCAUGCUUGUUUGAGUAUCAGUAAACACCUCAACUUCCAUAUCUUUUUUGAAAUGGGAGUUGGACUUGAGUGAUCCCAACGCUUUUCCUCACCGAAAAGUGGCGGGUUACUUGAAAUGCAGGUGCAGCUGGACUUUUCUCUGAGCUAUAAGCAUAUCUAUUUAGUCUGCCUAAAAAACAGAUUAUUACCUUUGCUGCAGCUAACAUAAAGGAGAUUAGUUCUUGUGUUGACUGAUGCAGGAUUCACAAAGACGGCUUCGGCCGACUUUGUAAACUCGAUCUCAAAUCAAGUAAGACUACCCGCUGAACUUAAGCAUAUCAAUAAGCGGAGGA